rnacentral:rRNA from 1 species
CAAUAGCGUAUAUUUAAGUUGCUGCAGUUAAAAAGCUCGUAGUUGGAUUUCGGGUGGGAAUGGCCGGUCCGCCGUUUCGGUGUGCACUUGCUACGCCCACCUUGCUGCCGGGGACGUGCUCUUGAGUUCACGCUCGGGACACGGAGUCGGCGAGGUUACUUUGAGUAAAUUAGAGUGUUCAAAGCAGGCCUACGCUCUGAAUACAUUAGCAUGGAAUAACACGAUAGGACUCUGGCCUAUCUUGUUGGUCUGUAGGACCGGAGUAAUGAUUAAGAGGGACAGUCGGGGGCAUUCGUAUUUCAUUGUCAUAGGUGAAAUUCUUGGAUUUAUGAAAGACGAACUACUGCGAAAGCAUUUGCCAAGGAUGUUUUCAUUAA